rnacentral:rRNA from 1 species
AGAGUUUGAUCCUGGCUCAGGAUGAACGCUGGCGGCGUGCCUAAUACAUGCAAGUCGAACGAGAACUAUUGGAUCUUCGGAACUGAGAAAUUCUAGUGGCGAACGGGUGAGUAACGCGUUGGUGACCUGCCCCGAAGAGGGGGAUAACGGUUCGAAAGAACCGCUAAUACCCCAUGAGCUCACGAGAGUUAGAGGUCUUGUGAGGAAAGGAGUAAUCCGCUUCGGGAGGGGCCUGCGUCCCAUCAGCUAGUUGGUAGGGUAAAAGCCUACCAAGGCGAUGACGGGUAGGGGACCUGAGAGGGUGACCCCCCACAAUGGAACUGAAACACGGUCCAUACACCUACGGGUGGCAGCAGUAGGGAAUAUUGCUUAAUGGACGAAAGUCUGAAGCAGCAACGCCGCGUGUACGAUGAAGGCCUUCGGGUUGUAAAGUACUUUUUGUAGGGAUGAGGAAGGACAGUACCUGCAGAAUAAGCCUCGGCUAACUACGUGCCACCAGCCGCGGUAAAACGUAGGAGGCGAGCGUUAUCCGGAUUUACUGGGCGUAAAGCGCGUGUAGGCGGAUUGGUAAGUUAGCUGUGAAAGCUCCUGGCUUAACUAGGAGAUGUCGGUUAAUACUGCCAGUCUAGAGUAUGUGAGAGGGAAGUGGAAUUCCGGGUGUAGUGGUGAAAUGCGUAGAUAUCCGGAGGAACACCAGAGGCGAAGGCGGCUUCCUGGCACAUUACUGACGCUCAGACGCGAAAGCUAGGGGAGCGAACGGGAUUAGAGACCCCGGUAGUCCUAGCUGUAAACGAUGUAGACUUGGCGUUGGUGGGGUCAAACCCAUCAGUGCCGGAGCUAACGCAUUAAGUCUACCGCCUGGGGACUACGGCCGCAAGGUUAAAACUCAAAGGAAUUGACGGGGACCCGCACAAGCAGCGGAGCGUGUGGUUUAAUUCGAUUUACACGAAGAACCUUACCAGGGUUUGACAUGCAAGUGGUAGUGAAGCGAAAGCAGAACGACCCUUCGGGGAGCUUGCACAGGUGCUGCAUGGCUGUCGUCAGCUCGUGUCGUGAGAUGUUCGGUUAAGUCCGCUAACGAGCGCAACCCUCGUCGUGUGUUACAAGUGUCACGCGAGACCGCCGGUCAUAAACCGGAGGAAGGUGGGGAUGACGUCAAGUCAGCAUGGCCUUUAUGUCCUGGGCUACACACACGCUACAAUGGCCAGUACAAUUGGUAGCGAGGUCGCGAGGCGGAGCCAAUCCGUAAAAGCUGGCCCCAGUUCAGAUUGUAGGCUGCAACCCGCCUGCAUGAAGAUGGAGUUGCUAGUAACCGCAGGUCAGCAAUACUGCGGUGAAUACGUUCCCGGGUCUUGUACACACCGCCCGUCACGUCAUGGGAGCUGGCAAUGCCUGAAGCCGGUAUUCUAACUC